rnacentral:rRNA from 1 species
UACGUAGGGUGCGAGCGUUGUCCGGAAUUAUUGGGCGUAAAGAGCUCGUAGGCGGUGUGUCACGUCGGCCGUGAAAACCUGCAGCUUAACUGUGGGCGUGCGGUCGAUACGGGCAUCACUGGAGUUCGGCAGGGGAGACUGGAAUUCCCGGUGUAGCGGUGAAAUGCGUAGAUAUCGAGAGGAACACCUGCGGCGAAGGCGGGUUGCUGGGCUGAUACUGACGCUGAGGCGCGAAAGCCAGGGGAGCGAACGGG